rnacentral:rRNA from 1 species
CUGAACCAGCCAAGUAGCGUGCAGGACGACGGCCCUCCGGGUUGUAAACUGCUUUUAGUUGGGAAUAAAGUGCAGCUCGUGAGCUGUUUUGUAUGUACCAUCAGAAAAAGGACCGGCUAAUUCCGUGCCAGCAGCCGCGGUAAUACGGAAGGUCCAGGCGUUAUCCGGAUUUAUUGGGUUUAAAGGGAGCGCAGGCGGACUCUUAAGUCAGUUGUGAAAGUUUGCGG